GGGGCCGUAGCUCAGCUGGGAGAGCGCCUGCUUUGCAAGCAGGAUGUCGUCGGUUCGAUCCCGUCCGGCUCC
rnacentral:tRNA from 1 species